CUUUAUUAAAUUAGUUUCGUACAAAAUGUGUCGGACAUUUUAAAUCUUUCAUUAUGAUUAAAAAUUAGAGUUUCUUAUUAAUCUUAAAUUAUGUAAUAAAUGGUUUAGAAAAGAUAAAAGAAAUUUGUUUUAAGUAUUAUAUUGUGGCUAAUGAAGCAGUUAAAAAGUCCUGUAACUUCUUCGAUAAUACUAUUGUUAUGAAGAUUGCAAUAGUUUUAAAUAUCAGAAACUGAAGAAGGUAUUGAUACUCAGCAGAUAAUAAAAAAAGCAAAAGUACUGAUUAUUCAAAUCUCUUAAAGUUAAACCAUCACCACUUCCACAACCACCUUGUCUCAAGCAUUCAAUCACAUUCUAAGAUAUCUUUAUUGAAAUAAAGUGUGACUACUUUACCAAAAGACUCUAGAAUGGACCAAUCAAUGAAACUGUCGGUAUCUCCACAACUUUUCAAUUAAAUAGAAAGUUUCAAUCAAACAGGAUACUGAGUGUACCUACUGCUCCUCAAGACAAUGGAUAAUGGGAGUUAUCAAACUUGCGAUAACUACAAGUUUUUUUAAUAAGUAAAAAGAUUGUAUGACUUCGGUAUCCGCAAUAUGGUAUCGUGCAUUGGUUCUUAUCUUAGAAUGGCUCCCUUCCGUUUAGGUGAAAAUAAGAAAGGUUAUCAGUUCAAGCAAAGAUGACAAUGAUCAUUAUGGAGCCGAUCAUGAUGACGAAUACGAUAAUUCACAUAAUAAUAAAUAAAAUGAUUUUACUUGUAUUUUAGACUUAUAAAUAAAAAAUUAUCUGUUUAAUAUUUAA